rnacentral:lncRNA from 1 species
UUUUAUACUGAUUUGUAUUCAAUGUGAAUCCUAAUCCAGUCCCCUUUGGUUGCAAGGGAUUUCUCUUCAGAUCAAUGGCUUCUUUUCGAGUACGGUAAUGAUGAUUAUCGCACAUUCUUCUUUUACUCGUUGAUACAAUGUCUCACCAGUUGAGAACUCUCUUUCUAUUUCUGACUAUUACACAGUGAAUCUAACUAGACU